UAGGCAUAGUCCCCAAAUUAAUUAAAUUAAUUAGUUUGGGGACUAUGCGGAUUGGCGCUACGUGGCCGAUCCGACGACUGUCUUUCUCAGUUACUUUUUCUCUCUCUCUUUCUCUAAAAACACCGGGCUUUUUUUUUUUUCUUUCUUUCCAUCCGUGGCCGUCGUAUAAGCCACAUGGCGCCGAUCUGUAUAAUUCCCAAAUUAAACCAUAAAAUUUUU
rnacentral:lncRNA from 1 species